rnacentral:rRNA from 1 species
CCCUUAGAUGUUCUGGGCCGCACGCGCGCUACACUGAUUCAUGCAACGAGUUUUGUCCUUGGCUGAAAGGCCUGGGUAAUCUUUGAACGUGAAUCGUGCUGGGGAUAGAUGAUUGCAAUUAUUCAUCUUCAACGAGGAAUUCCUAGUAAACGCAAGUCAUCAGCUUGCAUUGAUUACGUCCCUGCCCUUUGUACACACCGCCCGUCGCACCUACCGAUUGAAUGGUCCGGUGAAGGCUCCGGAGGCGUCUUUCUCAAUGUUUAUUCGGCGAGAUUGGUGCCAAAGUUGAAUGAACCUUACCAUUUAGAGGAAGGUGAAGUCGUAACA